GGCCCAUGGGACACCGUAGUGGAGCUGUCCAACAGGUGCUUGUUUAUAUCAGUCUGGCCUGAGGAUUUAGAGUUGGAAAAUUACCACCAUUCAAAGGUCUUGUUCAGUUUGCUGUGUUCUCUACUGCCAUCUGGUGGUCAAGAAGGAUCAAUCACUGCCCUUGCAAUGAAGAACUCUAUGAAAGCGAAGGCUUGGCCAUUUUGUGUUCAGCUCCUUCCAGUAAAUACUCCAUGGCAUGAUUAUUUAUUUUUCCUUUUCUCUUAUUCAUAAAUCAGAGUGGCUGUUUGAACUUAACCACCCUUAUCAAAAUCUUUAAAAAUAUUUAAAAUAUUUUGACCCAGUGCUUCCACUUUUAUAAUCUCAAAGAAACAUAAGCAGACAGAUUUAUGUAUGAGCAUGUUUCUCAAAGUGUUAUUUAUAAUAGCAAAAUUGGAACUACCACAAAUGUUCAAAAAUAGGAAUUGUUAAAAUUGGAGUGUUCUGUACCACUAUUCACUCACGCUUUAGAAGAACAUUUAAUGACAUGGGAAAAUGUUUAUAAUAUAUUAUGAAGUGAACAAACACAGUUAAAAAGCAAGUAAAACUUCACAAUCUCCAUUUUGGCUUUCUGUGUAUUUCCUCCUUUCAAAGGCAUGAACAUAUAAUACUUUGGGAACCAGAAAGAAAUGCCACCAUAAAUAUUUUAUAAAUAUGGUUACCUGCAUGGUAGAGUAUCAGUAUCAACUUUUUUUUUAAAGUAACACGUCUUUUAAGAUAUCUAUCCUAGAACUUUAUUAAAAACAUACUUCUACAGAAUAUCAGUGCAAAGGAUCGUGAACAAUUGCUUUAGUGUUCUUGGGAUCAGGAAUAAUCCAGGAAGCCAGAGCAUGCAGCUGCCACUUCAGGUUUGCUAAUGAGUCUUGUGGCUAAGAUAAAAAGCAUGUUAUUUGUUGCAUGACCCUAAAGAGUUAUUAAUUUGUUCUAAGGCUUAUAUUUUGCUCCCAAGAGUUGUUGGUGGGGAUGUGGAAGAUGAUGCAAUUCAAAUCACUGUGCAGUAUGUGCAGUAACCAGAGCUCUAUUUUAUAAUUGGACACAGUCCAUUUCUUAAAGCUUUUUCAAGACAUAGCUUUGAGAUUUUUCUUUGUACAAUGAAAAGGUACACAGAGACUGCUUUGCUUGCUUCACUGGGUAAUUAGCCCACAAAGAGAAGAUUGAAGGUGCUCUCACGGGUUUCUUUAAAUGGAGCUAAGAGCAGCUGCCCUUGGGUCCUAGGAGCAGCUGUGUGGCUAGCCAAACCCAGCUAGAAGGUGUUCCUCCUACAGAGCUUUCUGUUUCACAUUUGUUCACUUAAUACAUUUGGACACAAUUUCCAUAUACAUGGUUAACAUGUCACUUCUGUCUACCCUAAGGGCACCAGGUGGUAGCUCCAAGAAGAGGAAAUCAUUUUCGGAGUUCCCUGCUGGCUCAAUCAACACUUUUCACUUCUCCUAAUGAGAUGGUUAACCUGUUUUUUUCAUUUAGCCAUUUGGUCAACAAAACUUUAAUGGCUGUUAUAGAGUAGUUUAUAAUUUCCACACUUACAGGCAUUAACACCAUUACUAUUAGAUUGGGAAACAGAGAUUCGACUAAUCCUCCAGCUUAAGCUGAAAACAUAUCUCCAUAGAGAUUUUUCACUGAAUUAAUUCUACUAAAUUCUUGGGUCAAACACAGUUAAUGUUUCUGCUUAGUCAUUUUUAAAGAAAAGAAAUGAAAUCUGGCUGGUAUACAUUAACCCGUGUGUGCUUCUUAAAUAAAUUUACAAAUAUAAAUGGACUCAAACAUUAAUCAGACUAUUAUCUUAACAUAUUAAAAAAUAAAUUUACAUAGCACACUGUAUUAAAGUGAGUAUUACAAACUUUUAGUUCUAAAGUAGUUGUUUCUCUUUGGCAUGUUUCAUUGGGCAUGUUCCAGGAAUUCAGUAAGUCCUCAAAGGUUGUUUUUCUGUAUUGGUGCUACUUUCUUUUAUCUAAGUAAAACAUAUUCUCAAAAUAACAUGCACUGGGAAGUAUGAUUCGAUGCACAAAUACUGCUUUACACAUAGCUUUUGGGGACUAU
rnacentral:lncRNA from 1 species